rnacentral:rRNA from 1 species
CCCUUAGAUGUUCUGGGCCGCACGCGCGCUACACUGACGAUGGCAACGAGUUUUUCCUUCGCCGAAAGGUGUGGGUAAUCUUUUGAAACAUCGUCGUGCUGGGGAUAGAUCAUUGCAAUUUUUGAUCUUGAACGAGGAAUUCCUAGUAAGCGCGAGUCAUCAGCUCGCGUUGAUUACGUCCCUGCCCUUUGUACACACCGCCCGUCGCUACUACCGAUUGAAAGGUUUAGUGAGGACUCCUGAUUGGCGCCGCCGCCCCGGCAACGGAGCAGCGGACUGCCGAAAAGUUGUUCAAACUUGAUCAUUUAGAGGAAGUAAAAGUCGUAACA